rnacentral:rRNA from 1 species
AAGGCGAAAUAGGCGACAUGGAGCGAACCCCAAAAACUAAAACGUCCCAGUUCUGAUUGCAGGCUGCAACCCGCCUGCAUGAAGCCGGAAUCGCUAGUAAUCGCGGAUCAGAAUGCCGCGGUGAAUACGUUCCCGGGUCUUGUACACACCGCCCGUCACACCAUGGGAGUCGAUAACGCCCGAAGUCAGUGACCCAACCGAAAGGAGGGAGCUGCCGAAGGCGGGAUGGAUAACUGGGGUGAAGUCGUAACAAGGUACC